rnacentral:sRNA from 1 species
GAGGCGGAGAACAAUAUGGCGGAUGGCGAGGAGCCGGAGAAGAAAAGAAGGAGAAUAGAGGAGCUGCUGGCUGAGAAAAUGGCUGUUGAUGGUGGGUGUGGGGACACUGGAGACUGGGAAGGUCGCUGGAACCAUGUAAAGAAGUUCCUCGAGCGAUCUGGACCCUUCACACACCCUGAUUUCGAACCGAGCACUGAAUCUCUCCAGUUCUUGUUAGAUACAUGUAAAGUUCUAGUCAUUGGAGCUGGCGGCUUAGGAUGUGAGCUCCUGAAAAAUCUGGCCUUGUCUGGUUUUAGACAGAUUCAUGUUAUAGAUAUGGACACUAUAGAUGUUUCCAAUCUAAAUAGGCAGUUUUUAUUUAGGUAAGUUUUAAUAUCUUAGCGGUUUUCUUUUUUUAAGCUCUGAUAAUCAUUUGAACUUGUACAUUGCAGUUUAAUAAUUUUUAAAAAUGACUUGAGAGGAUAAUACUAAUUUUAUUUUAAAAAACAAAAACUACCAUUCCCAUUGUAGGUAAAGUUUUGUAAGAAAAUUUCGGGCAUCUUGGUGAUAGUAGUUAUGUAAACAAAUACAUGUUUUUGUUUUUUCGAAGAAGUCUCCUUCCAAAGGUUUAUGUGAUUUUUGGGAAUAUCCUCAGGUUAACUGUGCUCUGAAGAAAGGAAAGAACGGUAGCUCUUCCUCCAGUUGAUGUCAGAAGAGAAUACUCGCUGGAGUAUUAGGCCCUAGUGAGAGAUUGGCAGGGAUUUGUGAGCCAAGGUUUGAAUGGUGACUGGAGCAAUAAAGUUGGGAAAGAGUUUGAGCUUUUCC